GGAAAUAAUGGGAGACCCUACCUUGGGGAAGGCUGGGUGAAGUCAGGCUGGAGAGAACCACAGGCAGCAGAUCAGGCUCCUGUGUGGGACCCUGAAAGAAGGAGGGAUAUUCCUGAGAGAAGCUGGUGGAGUCCCUGGGGAAGGGAUGCAGUGAGGUAACCUGCCAGGAUGAAGCAGUACAGAAGAACUCUGUAGGGCCCAGGAGUAAGGGUAAAGAGCAGAGCUCUCUGGUGUAGCUCAAGAGGGGUAGAAGAAUUCUUGGUUUGGACAUUUACUUAGAUUUACAGUUGGACUUUUCUUACCCUGGAAAGGGAUUGAACUUAAGAGGUGACCUGGCUGGAGGGAUGGGCCAUGGAAGGUCCAGACAGAGACAGGCCAACAUGGGGCUGAAGAUGUGAUCAACGGGCAGCAUUAGAGCUGCAGGCCCCUGUUAUGCCAUGCCCUGAUGAUAGGGAAUGCUCUGACAGUUAAUGGAUGAGACCACCUGAAAGAAGGGUUCCCAGAAGUCUCGGCUGCUGUGCUUGUGCCAAAAGCAGCCAGACCCAUGAGAUGAUGCAAGUGAUAUCACCAUGGACCUCCCUAAUGGAUCCCCCUCUCUCCUCCUCUUCACAGAGACUCUCAUUCAGGGCUGUUUGACAAAUCCAGUAAACAUCCUCACCUUGCAGAAGCAUUUAGAGAGAAAAUUUAGACUAAAAGCUCCUCUAAACCAGUGUGUCUUCCCCCUUCUUUGUAAAUCCAGUGCACGUUAAAUGAAACUCAUAGGUUUCUUGAAGCUGUCUGUGUUAUUAUUGGAACUGAUGCACAUUCCCUCUAACCAAUCUAUUUUUAUUUG